UAUGGCUCAGGAUGAACGCUAGCGAUAGGCCUAACACAUGCAAGUCGAGGGGCAGCAUAGGGUAGCAAUACUUUGAUGGCGACCGGCGCACGGGUGAGUAACGCGUAUGCAACCUACCUAUAACAGGGGAAUAACCCGGAGAAAUUCGGACUAAUACCGCAUAAAACAGGGGCUCCGCAUGGAGAUAUUUGUUAAAGAUUUAUCGGUUAUAGGUGGGCAUGCGUUCCAUUAGCCAGUUGGUGAGGUAACGGCUCACCAAAGCAACGAUGGAUAGGGGAACUGAGAGGUUUGUCCCCCACACUGGAACUGAGACACGGACCAGACUCCUACGGGAGGCAGCAGUGAGGAAUAUUGGUCAAUGGGCGAGAGCCUGAACCAGCCAAAUCGCGUGAAGGAAAGACUGCCUUAUGGGUUGUAAACUUCUUUUAUACAGGAAUAAAAAGAGUUACGUGUAACUUAUUGCAUGUACUGUAUGAAUAAGCAUCGGCUAACUCCGUGCCAGCAGCCGC
rnacentral:rRNA from 1 species